rnacentral:rRNA from 1 species
AUACGUAGGUGGCAAGCGUUGUCCGGAAUUACUGGGUGUAAAGGGAGCGCAGGCGGGCGUGCAAGUCAGCUGUGAAAUCCAUGGGCUUAACCCGUGGGCUGCAGUUGAAACUGUAUGUCUUGAGUGAAGUAGAGGUAGGCGGAAUUCCGAGUGUAGCGGUAAAAUGCGUAGAUAUUCGGAGGAACACCGGUGGCGAAGGCGGCCUACUGGGCUUUAACUGACGCUGAGGCUCGAAAGUGUGGGGAGCAAACAGGAUUAGAUACCCUGGUAGUCCACGCUGUAAACGAUGAAUACUAGGUGUGGGGGGACUGACCCCCUCCGUGCCGCAGUUAACACAAUAAGUAUUCCACCUGGGGAGUACGAUCGCAAGAUUGAAACUCAAAUGAAUUGACGGGG